GGGCCGUUAGCGCAGUGGUAGCGCGUAUGCUUUGCACUCGCAGCAGUUGUAUAAGGUCCAGGGUUCAAUCCCCUGACGGUCCA
rnacentral:tRNA from 1 species